rnacentral:rRNA from 1 species
AUUGAACGCUGGCGGCAUGCUUUACACAUGCAAGUCGAACGGUAACAGGGUGCUUGCACCGCUGACGAGUGGCGAACGGGUGAGUAAUGCGUCGGAACGUGCCGAGUAGUGGGGGAUAACGCAGCGAAAGUUGUGCUAAUACCGCAUACGUACUGAGGUAGAAAGUGGGGGACCUUCGGGCCUCACGCUAUUCGAGCGGCCGACGUCUGAUUAGCUAGUAGGUGAGGUAAAGGCUCACCCAGGCGACGAUCAGUAGCGGGUCUGAGAGGAUGAUCCGCCACACUGGGACUGAGACACGGCCCAGACUCCUACGGGAGGCAGCAGUGGGGAAUUUUGGACAAUGGGCGCAAGCCUGAUCCAGCCAUGCCGCGUGUCUGAAGAAGGCCUUCGGGUUGUAAAGGACUUUUGUCCGGGAGCAAAUACCCAGUGCUAAUAACGCUGGGGGCUGAGAGUACCGGAAGAAUGAGCACCGGCUAACUACGUGCCAGCCGCCGCCGUAAGAC